AAUGAACGUUGGCGGCAUGGAUUAGGCAUGCAAGUCGAGCGAGAAGUCUAAGUUUGACGCUUCGGUUGAUUUCUUAGAUGGAAAGCGGCGAAAGGGAGAGUAACGCGUAGUUAUCUGCCCCAAGGUCCGGAAUAGCUGAGGGAAACUUCAGGUAAUGCCGGAUAAUAUCCCCGGAUCAAAGGUGUGAUUCCGCCUUGGGAGGAGACUGCGUACUACUAGCUUGUUGGUGGGGUAAUGGCCUACCAAGGCAAUGAUGGUUAGCGGGCGUGAGAGCGUGGCCCGUCUCACUGGGACUGAGACACUGCCCAGACACCUACGGGUGGCUGCAGUCGAGAAUCUUCGGCAAUGGACGAAAGUCUGACCGAGCGAUGCCGCGUGCGGGAUGAAGGCCUUCGGGUUGUAAACCGCUGUCAGUUGGGAGGAAGGCUCCGUGAAGAGCGGAGUUUGACCUAUCUUCAGAGGAAGUCCGGGCUAAGUUCGUGCCAGCCGCCGCCGUAACAC
rnacentral:rRNA from 1 species